CAUCCUGUAAACAGGAGCUCUCGGGAUCUGUCACAACUCCAUGGCACAUACUGCCAGCUACUGUGAGUGACACGGCACCUAAUAUAUAAGAUCAUUCUGCAAAGGCAGAGACAGCUAGUCUCAAAUCACCUAGAAAGUUGAAGGAGGUAUGGAAACUACUGCUCAGAAAAUCAAAUAACAGAUACAACCUUGGUCGUUUGGCAUUAUGACUCACUACAAACACCUGUAUUCCUCAGGUAAAAACAAACAAACAAAAAAAAGGAGAGUGAAAUUUCAUCCAUUGCUUACAUGUGGAGAAACGAUCUGCACUGUUUGUCAUCAGCAAAGGCACAAGUAUCCUGAAGUGCUUCUCAAAAGUGUAAUUGACCUGCAUGGCCAUAAUUUGGUAGUAAGAUACACUUAAUCAAAUCAGAUUAUUGAUUCCAACUUUGGUAGCAAACAAAUCAGUGGAAAAAGCUGGAAGACGUCACAAAAAGGUACGAUCACUACCAGACAACAAGCCAGCGUGACAGUGUAGUGACAAU